GAUGAACGCUGGCGGCGUGCUUAACACAUGCAAGUCGAACGGAAAGGCCCAAGCUUGCUUGGGUACUCGAGUGGCGAACGGGUGAGUAACACGUGGGUGAUCUGCCCUGCACUUCGGGAUAAGCCUGGGAAACUGGGUCUAAUACCGGAUAGGACGAUGGUUUGGAUGCCAUUGUGGAAAGUUUUUUCGGUGUGGGAUGAGCUCGCGGCCUAUCAGCUUGUUGGUGGGGUAAUGGCCUACCAAGGCGUCGACGGGUAGCCGGCCUGAGAGGGUGUACGGCCACAUUGGGACUGAGAUACGGCCCAGACUCCUACGGGAGGCAGCAGUGGGGAAUAUUGCACAAUGGGCGCAGGCCUGAUGCAGCGACGCCGCGUGGGGGAUGACGGCCUUCGGGUUGUAAACUCCUUUCGCUAGGGACGAAGCGUUUUUGUGACGGUACCUGGAGAAGAAGCACCGGCUAACUACGUG
rnacentral:rRNA from 1 species